rnacentral:lncRNA from 10 species
GAAAAGAAAAGAAAAAUGUGAUAAAUGUGAUCUCUAGUUUUGUGCAGGGGCAGUAUCAUAGUAUCGUAGCCAGUGAGGUUUAUCAAAGGUGUGAUUAUUGCUAACUGAAAACUUUUCCCAAUAUCCCUUCAUGACAACUAAAAAUAGAGUCGGCAUUGGCAAUUUUCGAAUUUGACAGUCUAUAUGGAGACUGAACAAAGAAACAGAAAAAGAAAUGUGGCCUCUUCCUUGGCUAAAAAUUUUAACAUAACGUGGUCUUGAGAAAAACAUGGUCUAUUUCUCUCAAGUUUUCUUUCUGUAUUCACCAAAUUUCAUGUUGAUCAGGGUUAAAAGAAAUAGCACUGGUUGUUGCUUCCCUUGCCCUCGGUGGGGUAAAGUUAUCAGUAAUUCAAAUCAAGAAUUUAUCCAAUGCUCUGUUUUUAGAGAAUUAUUGCCAGCAUCUUAAAAUACCUCAUUAGAGGCCAGAGAAGAGCAAACUUGGCCCUUUGGGGACAGCAAAAAACAGUCUGUUAGCUGUUUAGACCUAGAGAAGGCAGCUGAAAGUGUUUGGUUACCAAACAGCGUUCCUAAGCACCUAGAUAACUGGUGUGAUCAGUACUCAACCCUGCUGUUGGCUGAUGACAGGGAAGAGACUGG